rnacentral:snRNA from 1 species
AUAUCUUUCUCAGCUUUCUGGCUAAGAUCAAGUGUAGUAUCUGCUCUUAUACAAGAAUAACCUAUCAAAAAUAAAAAGUUGCACUCCCA